rnacentral:rRNA from 1 species
CAGCCGUAAACUAUGCGCGUUAGGUGUAUCGGUGACCACGAGUUACCGAGGUGCCGAAGGGAAACCGUGAAACGUGCCGCCUGGGAAGUACGGUCGCAAGGCUGAAACUUAAAGGAAUUGGCGGGGGAGCACCACAACAGGUGGAGCCCGCGGUUUAAUUGGACUCAACGCCGGGAAGCUCACCGGAUAGGACAGCAGAAUGAUUGCCGGGCUGAAGACCCUGCAUGACUAGCUGAGAGGUGGUGCAUGGCGUCAGUGACU